ensembl:lncRNA
GAUACAAGGACAGAGAGAGGAAGAGAUGGAACUCACUUGCUGGAUGAGUGGGCGGUUGAAGAAAGGGAUGUGUGCUCAGAGGAGAAGGAGAGGAAUAUGCCUGUUGCUGAGUGCUCAGAGAGGAGAGGAAUAUGCCUGUUGCUGAGUGCUCAGAGAGGAGGAGGAGAGGAAUAUGCCUGUUGCUGAGUGCUCAGAGGAGAAGGAGAGGAAUAUGUCUGUUGCUGAGUGCUCAGAGAGGAGAAGGAGAGGAAUAUGCCUGUUGCUGAGUGCUCAGAGAGGAGGAGAGGAAUAUGCCUGUUGCUGAGUGCUCAGAGAGGAGGAGAGGAAUAUGCCUGUUGCUGAGUGCUCAGAGAGGAGAGGAAUAUGUCUGUUGCUGAGUGCUCAGAGAGGAGGAGGAGAGGAAUAUGCCUGUUGCUGAGUGCUCAGAGAGGAGGAAGAGGAGGAGGAGGAGAGGAAUAUGUCUGUUGCUGAGUGGGCAGAGAGGAGGAGGAGAGGAAUAUGUCUGUUGCUGAGUGCUCAGAGAGGAGGAGGAGAGGAAUAUGUCUGUUGCUGAGUGCUCAGAGAGGAGGAGGAGAGGAAUAUGUCUGUUGCUGAGUGCUCAGAGAGGAGGAGGAGAAAUGGUGAAUAACGGAACACAGCUGGAUCUGAGAGGGGAAGAGAUCACUGCACCUCACAGCUGGAUCUGAGAGGGGAAGAGAUCACUACACCUCACAGCUGGAUCUGAGAGGGAAAGAGAUCACUGCACCUCACAGCUGGAUCUGAGAGGGGAAGAGAUCACUACACCUCACAGCUGGAUCUGAGAGGGGAAGAG